CCUCCCUUCCUUCCCCUCUGCCCCUGGCAAAAUGGUGUCCGAAACAGCAGAGAGGCCUGGAAACAAGUUGCAGGCAGAAAUGCCAACCAGAUUCCACAGAGGGUCCUCCAGGACCGUGCUUUCCACGCUGCUGUGUGCACACGGGUCUCCUAGGAAUCUCCUAAAAUGGAGGUUCGCUUCAGCAGGCCUGGGGGGCGGCGCGGGCGGCUGAGCGUCUGCGUCUCUCGCCAGAUCCCAAGUGAGGCCCGUGCCCCAGGUGACGCGGAUGCGGCUGGAGAUGGGACCACGCAGAGUCUGGCUCAAACACCACGCAGGUGGGGAGCAGAAUUCUAUUCUGUUCUAAACCGUUUCAUUUUAUCCGAUCCCCACGGCCACCCCGGUCAAGGGAUCAGGCUGGGCUCAAAGUCUGCACAUACACCCCCCCUCCCAGGCUUCCUUGCUCAGACAGAGGUCCUCAGAGUGGCUGCCCCUCCUGGUUUCCCCUCCUCCUCCGUCAGGGUCUUGGAUUCUGACGCGGCCUGGAGAGCGGGCGGCGGGGGGAUGAGGGCAUCAGAACACCUGCUGUGUUUACACAGUAUUGCUGGGGGUUCCAGCAUUCAUAGUACUCAAACUCUGAGUUACUUUGAAAUUCCUUUGUCUGCCAGGGCCGAAUUCUCAACUGAAAUAACCACUUUGGAAGGGCUCCUCCUGGGUCACGGCUUUGUAAGAAUUAUAAAUUACGUGGUGAAGCCACAGCCUGACCACACCUGGAGUGUGGUAACCGAGCCUCAGUCCUGCCCUGGAGGCUCCCCAACCCCUGACCUGAGUCUGCUGAGCUCCCACAGUGGCUGCGGGGGAGACCCCAGAGGGGAAGGACACCUACGGCUGGCCCGCGCGCAGACGUGGUGGGGACACGGCCCCCCUAUCUUGGUUCCCUGCUGCAGGGUCGUACAAGCUCUCGGACAUUUCUCUCUGAAUUCCACCUCGGCUGUUCUCUGAAGGAAAAUCAAUGGGAAGAUCUCAAUUAAUCACACGGGGGCAAAUUGAUUAGGGUCCUAAAUUAGGUCAGUGCUGCUGUCUGCUCAGAGGGUAGGACCCCUUAAUCAUGGUUUCAUUCGUGAGAGGUGGACCACAGGCAGAGGCGGAAAGAUCUGUGGCCAGUCUCCGCGGGCUUAUCGGGAGGGCCAUGGAGGGGAGCUGGUAUCUGUCCCUGGCCCACUCCCCCUGCACGGCGCUGGAACGUAUCCCUGCCCGGGGCAUGAGACAGGCCAGGCCAUGACCGCUUUAACAGAAUCACUCUUUUCCUUCCCACUGGAUGGAAACCGACCCGUAUGUCCUCGGCCAUGAGUGUGGGGGAAGCCUAGACCCUUGGCCGCCAAUCACCUGCUCUGGUAACCUUCUCCUCCCUUUGUUUCCAGUGGUCUCGCUGCUAAAAGGAGCAGCCGAUGAGUUCGACAGCACAGCACCUUGGAAGAAGGCCAGUACUUGUAAGGAGCAAUCCAAGCGAAGGUGUUCACCUGUCGCGGAGGCCCGGCUGGAGAAGCUUGCCCUGCUCUGACGCAGCUCUGUAAGGAGCUGCCAGGAGAAGAGGCCGGAGGCAGAAGGCUGCUUCGACUCGACGUGAGCUCCCCUUGCCUUCUCCCUAGGCUGGCCGGCCGAGAGUCGCCUGGAAGGCAGACAAAGGACGCUAAACGCCCCCACAACCCCCUGCCUGGAACCACAGCUCCAGGAGGUCUAGGGCAGUGCCGACUACUGCCCAGAUCCCCAGUGCCUAGAGUGGUGACUGGCAGUAUUUGUUGGCCGAAUCAUGCUUGCACCCUAUUAGAGGGGCGGACUGUGUCCUCCACAAAGGUAUCUCCGUGCCCUAACCCCCAGAACCUGUGAAUGUCACCUUGUAUGUGGAGAAAGGGUCUUUGCAGAUGGCGUAAGUUGCAGAUCUGGAGACGAGAUCAUCCUAACUUCAGGGUGGGUCUUAAAUCCAAUGACAGAUGUCCUUAUAAGGGACACUGGACUCCACUGACACCUGGAGCCACCAGCAGCAGCUGGGACAGGCAGGAAGGGUCCUCGCCUGUAGUCUUCGGAGGAGGGCGGUCCUGCUGACACUGUAAUUCCAGGCUGUACGAGAACACGCUUCUGGCCCCCUGGUUUGUGGUGAGUUGUCACAGCAGCCACAGGACAGGCAUGUACACGCUCGGGUCUGCAGCUUGCUCCCGGCAGGACACCUUUCCCUCGAACCUCCCCGAGGCCACUCUACCUGGUUCUUUCUGUCGUGCUCCCUGGGCCCUCAGAAAACACGGGCACAGACUAUGGGCACCUCUGAGGACAGGCGGGAGCUGCUGCCUCCGUGGGGUUGCCCCCUGGCCGAGGCCCCUUUGGAGGAAUCUGCCCAGACAGAGGUGUGGGGAAGGGCCUUAGCCACCGGUCAUCACUGCUGCUCCGGGGACCCUCAGUCCAGAAGAAGGCAGAGUUGUGGCAGUGCAUAAAAACAGCACUGAACUUUCCCAGAAAGCAGUCGGUGCGGCCUCUGUCCAGAGCUGACUUUCUGCCACCUUCUCAGCAGGAGCUGUGCCCGGCGCUGGCUCGGUUGGGGGGCUCGGCGGGCAGAUGCCAUCCCCACCCGCAUCUCAGACCAUCAAAGGCAGGAGGCAAACAGUUCCGGAGAACAAAACCCCUCGCUGCCUCUUUGCCGGUACAAAUGCUCCCAAGGAAACCAGACCUCAUGAGAUCGCCCUGAAGGUUUUUAAUUUAACGCCGGUGUCCUCCCGAGAGCCGGCCCUGGGGGUCCACAGUGAACUGUCUUCAGGAGCCGCUGGACCCAGGCCCCGGGCCCUCUCACCGACGAGUGCGUCAUUGGCAGUGUGACCGUCCUGUCCCUGUUCCUCUGGCCUGAUCGGCUCUCAGGCAGGACUCAUCAAAGCUUUCUGAAAACCCAGGUAAAUUAUGUCCACCGGGUUGCCGGGAUGCCUGCCAUUUGAUUAACUUUUUCAGAGCGCUCUGGCGAGUGGGAGAGCCCGAUUUCCCUUCAGAUACGUGGAGCGGUUUGACCUCAUUACCUCCGGGCAUACAGGUCUGUAAUUCCCAGGGUCUCCCCGGCUGAUGUUAGCGACUUUCCAAUUUCCAGAAGGGGCUUAGUUUCCGAAUCCCUUUCAAGAUCACCGCUAUUUUAUACUUUUUAAUUCCAUUAGGUGAAUCCGCUCCCAUUCCGGAGAUUUACUGGGCUGGGAUUUCGCAGGUAAGCUUAUAAACUGCUUCCCGACAGCCCCGGCCAGGGAAGAGCCUGCCAGCUCUGGGCAGGUCGUGCGUACCAGAGGCUGCAGGUGACCGUGCACAGGUGGCUCGGAACCGGCUUGGAGUGGGGCCCGAGACAGUUCGAGUCAACACGGCCCGUGGCUCAGCGUCCGGCUCGCUCAGGAGUGUCGAUUUGCUCCUCAGGCCGUCACUACACAAACGGCUGGGACAGUAACACCCUCACACCGGGACGGCUUUCCCGACAGGGCUGCCUGCCCGUGACCGGGGAGGUGAAGCUGUCUGUGCAAGCUUCUGUGGGUGUGCCCCCGCCCCCCUUCUGCAAGUGAUGGCUUUCCUUUCAACCUGAAGACUGGGCCACCGUCCGGCGGCAGGAACACCCUUGAAACAGUGGCUUCAGGAUGGGGGCAGACCACCCACCUCCUGAUCAGUGGUUGGAAGCCUGGACCAGACCAGGUCCUGGUCCCCGAUGGGGGCUGGAGGUUGAGUUCAAUCAAGUGGCCAAGGAUUUAAUCGAUCAUGCCUACGUAAUGAAUCCCUCAUGGAAACCCUGGGCACCGAGGCUGGGGCAGCUUCCCAGUAACCUGACACCCAUCUUGUCCCUCUGUUCCCGAAAAGCCCAGAUUCCCUGCACCAGCAUCCAGGGUGGCGUGUGAAUGCUCAGGGUCGACAGGGUCUCACCCGUCCUCCAGCCCGGCCCUGGCCGACCCCACCUGACCUUUGUGACGAUGCCAGCGCUCCCCCGCCUGCUGUGUCUCCCCUCCCACCCCGGUCCUGGAGACUCCCCCCACCAUUACGAAGUUCUCCCUUGGCCACGACUGACCUCUGCCUUUCCCCAGGGUCCCAGCCCUGCCCUCUGGGUCACAAAGGUCAGAGGCACCUCGGUGGCUCGGUUGAUUAAGCCUCCGACUUGC